rnacentral:tmRNA from 1 species
GGGGGCGACCGGUUUCGACGGGGAUCGUGACGUUCAGGGCUGCACCUCGAGGGCGCCCAUCACCUCGUCAAAAGGUGGGUCGGCUAUAGCUGCCGACAAAGAGCUAGCACUCGCCGCCUAACUAGCGGCGACGCCCGUCCACCCCGUGUCAGCGGGGGGCGGAGCCGGGUGUCAUAUUCCGCUGGCUGGCGUCGCGGACGGGCCUGGGUACCGCGGCGUGAGACUGCACAGGCUGGCCCUUUGCCGAUCCGGUCCGUGGGAGCGGUGAUGGGCGAGAACUAAAUCGCGGACUAUGGGUGUAGUGGCCCUGGACUGAGGGUUCUCGGACGUGGGUUCAAUUCCCACCGCCUCCACCA